UUAACAAGCAGCAAAAGGACAGCUUGAGAAGAGACUCUUUUAGCAGAAUGAGCCUUCGCAAGCUAGACGUGUGAAGAUUGAAGAAAUAAAAAGAACAAAUGCAAUUUUAUUUAUUUGUAUAUAUCAGUCCUCCUCACAAUAUCAGUGUUUCUGCCAUAAAGUAAAAA